rnacentral:rRNA from 1 species
AUUGAACGCUGGCGGAAUGCUUUACACAUGCAAGUCGAACGGCAGCACGGGUGCUUGCACCUGGUGGCGAGUGGCGGACGGGUGAGGAAUACAUCGGAAUCUACUCUGUCGUGGGGGAUAACGUAGGGAAACUUACGCUAAUACCGCAUACGACCUACGGGUGAAAGCAGGGGACCUUCGGGCCUUGCGCGAUUGAAUGAGCCGAUGUCGGAUUAGCUAGUUGGCGGGGUAAAGGCCCACCAAGGCGACGAUCCGUAGCUGGUCUGAGAGGAUGAUCAGCCACACUGGAACUGAGACACGGUCCAGACUCCUACGGGAGGCAGCAGUGGGGAAUAUUGGACAAUGGGCGCAAGCCUGAUCCAGCCAUACCGCGUGGGUGAAGAAGGCCUUCGGGUUGUAAAGCCCUUUUGUUGGGAAAGAAAUCCAGCUGGCUAAUACCCGGUUGGGAUGACGGUACCCAAAGAAUAAGCACCGGCUAACUUCGUGCCAGCCGCCGCGGUAA